rnacentral:tRNA from 1 species
UCCGAAGUAGCUCAGUGGUAGAGCAUCCGGCUGUUAACCGGCAGGUCGUAGGUUCGAGUCCUACCUUCGGAGCCA